rnacentral:ncRNA from 2 species
UAAAAUUUAGAAGCGCCAGACUUCACGCAGAGCGCGGAGUUGACGAGGGCGGGGUUUAUCGAAGUAUUCGGCGGGUGCCCCGUGCUGCGGUCCAUCAGCAUUACAGGUUUUACAAAUCCUCAAGCAAUUGACGGGACAAAAUAAACCUGAUUGGGCCUU